rnacentral:lncRNA from 1 species
CUAAUUUUUUGACUUCUUACAGUGAAAAUAUAUAUGUGUGUGUGUAUGUGUGUACCUGUAUAUAAAUAUGUAUGUAUAUAUAAGUGAAAAUGUGAGAAAAUACUUAGUGCAACUACAACUUAUCUUAAUAUAUAUAUAUAUUUUUUUAAACUAAAUUAGUGUAAAAACUAUAUCCACCAUCUGCAACUAGUCCCCAGUGAUAUAUAUAUAUAUGUGUGUAUAUAUAUAUAUAUAUAUAUAUAUAUAUAUAUAUAAAUAUUAAUAUUUCUAAGUCUCUCUCUCUCUCUCUCUCUCUCUCUCUCUCUACAUAUAUAUAUAUACAUAUAUAUAUAUAUAUAUAUGUGUAUGUAUAUGUUUAUCAAUGAAAUAUAUACAAUUUGUGUUUUUAAUGAAUUGAUAUAAAAUGAGGAAGGUUAAUCUUGGUAUGGUUUGUGAAUUUGUUCAAGUAUGAUUAAAAACAAUAUUUGGAUAAUGUCUUAUUUGCUUCCUUUCGAUAUUGAGGUUAUUUUGCUUUAAGUGCCAUUUCAAAAAGUUGGCAUGAGUGCCUUCAGCUGAAUGUGAAUUUGUAUUAUGCCAUUUUUUAAAAAAUUUACUUAUGUCUAAUAUUUUAAUAUUUUUCUUGCUUUCUUUACUGUUUGUUUCUUUAUUUCAAAACUUUUCUGCUGCUAGAAAAUAUUUACUUGCAUUUUUCUUUAUUUUCAUGAAUGUUUUCUAUAUUGCUCUGUAUUCUUAAAAUGUUUAUUUUCUUAGUGUGGCACAAUGCUUCUCUUAUUUGUACAAACACAUCAGUGUAUGGUGUGGUUUAGUAACAUGGAUUAUCAAGAGCAUGCUCAUAGGUUAAAAACUUGCUGUAACUAUUGCAUUGUGUCUCCAUAGUCUACCCAGAUGUUAAAACCUGAUUUCUACUUCACAUUAAGUUGUGUAGUUUGUAAGAGAAAAGAGGACAUGACCACCUCAAAAAUAUUCCAACUCUAUACAAAUAUUUCGUUUAUGCUCAUGGUGGAAAACAAAUGUAAAAAAAAAUGUUUUAAAAAAUGAGGAAAAUAGGUUGAGAAAUGUUAUCUUACAAAAAUAAUUGUCAACUGCCCCUUUAAAUUGAAUUUGUCUCUUAAAAUAUUAGUGCUCUUUUUAAGAUAUUGGAGUGUUAGAAAACAAUAUUGUGAUAAAGAAGUAGAAACAAUAUAGUGCUGGACUAGACGUUGUUUCAAAGUUACUGGUGUAGUAGAAAUAUUAUGAUGCUAGACUAAUUGUGGCUUUUAAGGUACUAGUGUGGUAGAAACAGUACAGUGCAUAACUUAAUGUGGUCUAUAAGGUACUGCUGUAAUAAGAACAAUAUCAUGCUAAAUGUGUUUUCAGGGGUAUUGGACGGUAGAGAAAAUAUAGUUUAGAACUAACUGUAGCUUCUAAAAUAUUGGUAGAAGCAAUAUAAUGCUACAUGUGAAGUGUUUAGUUAUUGUUCAAAUCUCUGAGAGUUCAAGUCUUUUGUAGUUUUAACUUGUCUUUCAUCCCCCACUAGAAUCAAUAAAAUAAGUACUUAUAAAACAUUAGUGGGGAAUCAAUUGUUUAUACCACUUCCCAACAAUUGCAUGGCUUUAUACCCAUGUAUAUACAUUCAUUUUGGAUAGUUUUUCCUAAGUUACUCUGGAAAGUUAAUAUUAACCCUUUUCAUACCAACCCAAAUGAGACUGCCCCUGGUUCUAUAAUACAAACUUCCUAUAUAAAAGUGAUCCAAAUUAAAAGUUUCCUUUGAAAUUUCUUGUUAACCUAUGACCUAGACACCGAUUCUAAAUUCUUCAUUAUAUUAAAUUCUUCAUUAUUUUAAAAAAUAAAAUUAAACAAAGGCAGUAAAUUUUAAUAGAAAUAUGGUAACAAAAGGGUUAAUCAGCUUAAGAUGAUUUAAAAAAAAUUUUAGUGUCUUAUUCUUAAGAUAGGUAUAAAUUCCUACAGUUGUCUAUAAUUUCCCUUUUUAGCAUAAGUGAUUAGGUAUAACUCGUUUAAGCAUGGUAGAAUGAUUAAAAGCUACUGGUGAGACAAGUUCAAUUUGGUUCAUGGUUGAAAUCAUUUUCACUCUACUUUCUCUAUUUAUGUAUUGGUGAAAGGCAUAAAUUCAUAAGUUAUUCUUUUCUCUUUCUCAUUAAAAAUAUAUUAUAUUUCAUGCCCCUUGGAAGCUUGCAUUAUACACUCCUUCAAACACUCUUCAAGCAGUGUGAUGCUGCGCUUCAUCUGGAAACAUGUUAAUUUUUAAUAAUAAAAGAAUACAUUAUGAAUUUAUAUAUACAACAGUGCAUUAGUCUACUUGUAUUCCAAUAUUUAUUGCCUCAUUUACAGGUACUUUUCCAAUAGAAGCUGAUGAAAAUAUAGUCAAGUGUGACAAUCCUUAUAAUUUAUAUUUAUUUGAAAUACAUUUUUAUUCUCCAACAAGCUUAUAUCAUUUCUUUUCAUUUCAUUUUUGAGCAUAUUUAAAGUAUUAGAUGAAAGAAUCAAGAUUCUUAUACAAACAAUAAGGAUGCAAUGUGCCUCUGCCCAGUUUUUAUUUACAACAUUUCUCUCUAGUCUAAUUAAAUUUUUCAGAUUUCCUGAUAAAUGCCUCAAAACACCAAACUUGUUGAUCCUUUCAAGAAUUUAUGUAAGUGACAUUAAGUGGUUAGUGCAAUCAAUUUCAGACAGCUCCAACACUGUAUUCUUUCCUGUCAUAUAGAAUUUGCCUGUCACUAGUUGAUGCAUUAACAUUUUGCUUCCUUUUAUUUUUCUUCAUUUUUCAUUUCUGGGGUUUUCAAAGUGACUUGUGUACAUGGUUGUCAUACUGAAAGUUGUCACUUUCUUCAUUGUGGUUCCUGAAGCAACAAAGAUAAUGAUGAUAUUCCUGAUGAACAUGGUGAUGACAGGGUUUUGUUAUCAUUAAUAUUAUUCUUAUUAUUAUUAUUAUUAUUAUUAAUUCAUGAACAUUUUUAUUCCAAUUAUUGUUGUUAAAAGGAUUUACAUUAGCAUCAUAAAUACAAUGUCAGAGAAAAAAAUCUAAGUUCUUGGUUAGCUAAAACUAUAACUAGGUUUUCUAACAUAGUUAAAAUGACUUUCCUGUAUGAAUACCUAUUUCCAGCAUGAUACUUUUAAUGAAGGGAAGUUCAACUAUUUUUCUGUAAGCAGUUCCAUUCCUUUGAUUAAUAAACUUUAUAUCAUGUAUAGAGUUACUCCUUUGAAAAUCCGAUAAAUAAACAGAAGUUGUUUGACAACAUAAGUUAUGAAAUAUGUUGUAAUGAAUCUAAAUUUUAAAUUUCUCAUAUAAUUACAAUUCACUAAGUAAACAAAGAAAA